AUUGAACGCUGGCGGCAAGCCUAACACAUGCAAGUCGAACGAGUGGCGGCCGGGUGUGGCAUGUCUGGGAAACUGCCUGGUGGAGGGGGAUUACUACUGGAAACGGUAGCUAAUACCCCAUACAAUCGGAAUUUCACAGAUGGGAUUAGCGAGUCGGUGGGGUCAAGGCUCACCUAGGCGACGAUCCCUAGCUGGUCUGAGAGGAUGACCAGCCACACUGGAACUGAUAAACGGCCCAGAUUCCAACGGGAGGCAGCAGAGGGGAAUAUGGCACGAAGGGGUCGAGCAUGAUGCGGACAUGCCGCGUGUAUGAAGAAGUCCUUCGGGUUGUAAAGUACUUUCAGCCGGGAGGCGUUACCCGCAGAAGAAGCACCGGCUAACUACGUGCCAGCAGCCGCGGUAAUAC
rnacentral:rRNA from 1 species